GAUGGAAUGGUGUGUGUGUAGGGGGCCAUUUGAAAUUUUAAAUGGGUGCUGAGGAUGUCACUGAAGUGAUAUUUGAGUCAAGAUCCAAAGGAAAUGAGGAACAAGCUAGUGUGCUAUGGGAGAUGAGGAAACUGAGACUCAAGACCCAAGGCCACGGCACUAGCAGGUGGAACAGCUGGAAUACAAAGCAUCCCACAAAUGAGGCUAAAAAUGAAGAAAGAAUUGGAGGUGGGAAGCAUCUUCUUCAUAAGGAUGAAGCCCUCUCUUUCUCUGAUUCACAUGAUGAGGAACAAGACCAUAAAAAGUCCUAAUUUUUACAUCUGAGAAAUAGGCAGCCACAGAAAGCCUGGCUCCUUUGUAUCUGUCUAGACUCAAAACUCCCAUGGAAGGGCUCAGAUAAGUCUGAGGGUCAGGGGCUUGCCUCUGAACCAAUCAGCUGUUGCUAGGCAAUGGGUUCUAUGAUUGAUCAGGCUUGUGUAGGUGGCUAGCCCUGGACCAUCAACACUGAUCAGGGGGAAGGGGUCACUUCUAUGAUGGCUUCCAUGGUAACCAUAUAGAUGACAAGAGGGAUAGAUAUUAGAAAAGAAGUGCUUCAUAGGUAUUCCCUGAAGAACACAUAGGAUCCAAAAGGGAUGGAGGCGAGAAGAGCUUGAGGGUUUGCCUAGAAAACCACUUUACCAUUUGAAGAUUAUUUCUAUGAGCCAGCAGGAGUGCCAUGUUUGCGUGGAUUGGACACCUGCUUUAUUUUUUCCUUCUAAUUAUGAAUGCUUGUCGUUGUUGUUGCUUAUGUCCCAGUGCUUGUCAUAGCCCUUUACACUUAAUAAGUGGUCAAUCAAGGUUUGUUGUAAUUUUGAUCUGAAUGUUCUCAGUGGGGCUUUUGCAUACUGGAUCUACAGACCUUCAAGAAAAGAGUCCUGGAAGCAUUUUUGACAUAAAGAAAUAAAUCCACAGCCUCCCUCUCCAGGUGACUGCUUUGAUGACAGCACUCAUUUGGAAGUGGAAAUCUUGGCUCUGGCUGCCGCUUGGAGACGCUUCUUCUAAGCUGCAUCCUCAUCUUCACUUUCAUCUUCAUCAAGCAUCGCGUGAUCGCUUCCUAAGAGGGAUCCAGAAGACCGUCUGAGGCUCACUGAAUGCAGUUCCCCUCUUAGAAGACCCAGAAAACAUCACACCACACUCGGAGUGUAGAAAGCAUGUGACGCCAAGGAAUCGAAGCCAGGUGGACAGGCUGAGCAUUGGAUGAAGUGAGAGCAGCCCUUAGGUUGAGCAAGGAGAGCACUGAGGAGCUGUGUUAUGGACAAAGUGAGGUGAGGCGGUUAUCAUCACCCUGCUUGUCACCACCAGGAUCCUGCUGGAGAUUUCCGGCCAAGGAGGGCCCAUGGUAAGGAGACACUCUACAUCAGAUGACAUCUUGGACACAGCUCGAGAUCCUGUGUGAUCGGUGGUUCCCCAGGUCACAGACUGAGUCCGGGCUCAUGUGUCAGGCAGAGGCCCUUAGGGAGGCCAGAGCUUGUCCCCUUCCCAGCUCCUUGGCAGAAACCAGUGCCAAUAAACUACAGGAGGAAUUUCUGCCUUUGAGUCAUGAGCCAACCUAGUGGCUGCUACAGAUCAGCUAAGAGAAUAAGUCACCCAACCUCCUGUGGUUCGCCCCAGAGCUGGCGCCACAGUGGGAGCCGGGCAGAUCUUCCUAGGAGGGCUGGGAGUGCCAGAGAUAACAGCUGAGCUCAGGUGAAAGCCUUCUGGAUGGGGACACCAGGCUUGAGGGGCCGUGAAGAGCUCUUUCAUCUCCAAUCCACCCCGUGCCUUGUCAUCUACCUGCUGAGAGGCCACAGCUUACUGGAAAGAAUCUCCCCGUUGGGUAAAUUCAUGUAAUGUGGGUGGGCAGGGGCCCUCUGUUCUGCUCCACCAGGUGAGAAGAUCCUUCUGGUUGAUUAGCUGUGAAGGAGUUGGCCUGUGGUCAUCCUGCCUUGCAGUCCAGUACUGGGAGGGCUAGUUCCACUCACCACCCACCCUUUGCAAGAGUCCCGUUCUUGUCUUCCCAGACUGAACCCAGUUGAAUUUCCAUGGAUGUGUGAGCAGUUCUACCAUGAAGGUCUCAGGAGAGCGCCUUCAAGCAGCACAGGGAGAAAGAGGGGAGGGCUUGUGGACGUAAGGAAGGGGAAGAGUCUCCUAAUGUUGGCUUUUGGGAAACGUCCCGCCAGAUUCCCUACUUCCUGCCUUUCAAUCUUUUUGGUACCCCCUACCCCUUCCCCAGUCCCUCUUCAAGUUGCUCUCUUUCCUCUGAUCCUCAGCUCCUCCCACAGGGAUGCCCCUCCCGACAGAAGGUUCUGAGCCCCAGGGAUGCGAACCUUCCUGCAAACGACAGUAGGGUCAGGCUCAGGUGGGAGGUGGGGGUGUGUAAGGCAUCAAAGUGACUGGUGAGGCAAAAUGAUUUAUUGGAAUAUUCAUUUGUUUUUGAGCUUCCUCAAGUCUCUUCUUCCUCCUCCAUUUUAAGCUGAUGGCUUGGCCUUUUUGGGUUUCUUGCUUUACGGAUUCCUGUCCACAGAAGCAGCCUGCAGCCCACAGCUCGUCUGCACCUUGUGAAGAGAUACUGACAUUGAACCUGAAGUACUGGGUUGAAUGCGGAGGAUUCAGUGGUGAACAAAGCCGGCCCCUGGCCCCACGGACCCUAUAGUCUCACCAGGGAGACAUAUAUUCAUCAAAUAAUUCUACAAAUAUUUAUAUAUACAUAUGUACACCUGGAUAAAGACUGAAAGGAAAACAGAUGCCGCUAUGAGGAUGCUGGUAACUCCAGGCAGAAGGAAAGUGCAAAGGAGAAGGGAGGCAGCACACAUUAUGCAGAGUGCGGAAUUUCCAAGCCCAGUGGUCAGGAAGAGUCAUCUUACCCCCAGCUCCAGGGUGAACUUUGAUGGGAUUGCUCCAAUCAGCCUAUCUUAUUACCCAGACCUUGGCAAUUGGUUCAGAGAGGGGCACUUGACCCAGUUUGGACCCAAGAGGAGACAUUUGCUGAGAACUUCUGAGCUAGACAGUUUGUCUCUCUUUCAUGGAAGCGUCUGGAAUUGAUACUCUCUCUUCCCUACCUUGAGUGGUGUGGCCUAAGAAGGUGGGCCUAGAAGUCCAGUGGUCAUUGUUACUAACAGGAGCACGGCUAGCUGAGACUGAAGCUGUACAGAGCAGAGUUGAGAGGCUGGCAGAAAACCUGAAUCAGAGUCCAGACUCUUUCAGGAACCUCUGGAUCAAAUCUUGCCCAAGGCUCAUGCCCCCUCUAGAAUUUCAGUUAAAUGAGUCAGUAAUUUAAGCCUAUUUGAGUCGUGUUAUCUGUUACUGGCGACCCAAAACAUCCUAAAUAAUACAUGCAUUUAAAAUAAUUGUAUUCUAUUCUAUUACAUGGAUGUGUGAAAAGCAUUUUCCUGUUUACUACCCAAUCUGACCUUUAAGCGGUCUUAUGAAGUAAACAAGUCUCUAUUUGGCAAGUGUAGAACUAAGGCCCGGAGAGGACAACUGAGCUAUCUAAAGUCACACAGCCAGUUAGUGGCAGAACCAGGCUCCCUGCCGUCUUGAGCAAAGCUUUUAAUGGUCAUCGAUUCCUCAAGGCAGAGACAUUAUGGACCAGUGAGUAAAAGAAUUCUGAAGGAUGGCACCGCAUCGUUAGGCUGACAGUCAGGAUGGGAAAGUGACAUGGCAUGUGAACCAGCUGCAUCCUGGAUUUGAAACCUAGGGUUUAAAGCAUGAAAAAGUUUAGAGAGAGAUUAGAGUACUGAUUCUCAAACUGUGGUCUGGGGACCCUGAGGGUUCCUGAGAUCUUUUCAAGAGAUUUGUGAGCUCAAAAGCAUUUUCAUAAUAACAUUAAAAUGAUAUUUUCUCUUUUAUUCUCAUUCUCUCGUAAG
ensembl:lncRNA